GACUCCAGUUUAAAAAUGCCCCUACCGUUAACCUAUUUUGAAAAAAAUGCCCCUACCGUUUUAAAUAUAAGUACAGUCAAUUGUUAGACUUAGGGGCACAAAUAUGCCACAUUUUUAACGGUAGGAGCAUUUUCUUCAAAAUAGGUUAACAGAGGGCAUUUUAAACCUGGAGUCAAUACGUUAGGGGCAGUUCUGACCCUUUACCCUAAUAACAAAGACAAUACAAGUUGAUAAUAACGGUAAUUAAAGUAGAGAAAAGAAAGUAUAAAUUUAACGUGGUUCAGUCAAGGAGUCCUACGUCCACAAGUGAGAGAAGUAAUUUUACUAUACCAACAAGAAUACAAAAGAGAGUAUAAAAUUAGAGUAAAUACUCUAAUUAGUCUCAAAUACCCCAAGAGAAUAACCUCACAAGAUCCUCUAAAGAAAGGGUUUACAUAAGUGUUUUCCAACACUCACCCUCUUACAGAAUACUCUAUAAUGAAAAAGAAGACAUAAGCUAGUAUAAAUACGUCUACUUUUAC
rnacentral:lncRNA from 1 species